rnacentral:misc_RNA from 1 species
ACAAACUUGGUCAUUUAGAGGAAGUAAAAGUCGUAACAAGGUUUCCGUAGGUGAACCUGCGGAAGGAUCAUUAACGUAUCUGAAGGCGGGCGCCUCUGCCCCGCUCCGGCCCGCGCGGCCGUGCAGCGGGCGGUCGCCCCGUCCGACCCUCACAAACCCACCGUGCACGUUUGCGGCGGAAGGGCGCCCCCCGUGGCGCCUGGAACCCGCUUCACCCACAAACACCGAAAACGUCGAAUGUCUAGCGGCCUCUGCGUCGCCUAAACUUGAAACAACUUUCAACAACGGAUCUCUUGGCUCUCGCAUCGAUGAAGAACGCAGC